rnacentral:rRNA from 1 species
UACGUAGGGUCCAAGCGUUGUCCGGAUUUAUUGGGCGUAAAGAGCGUGUAGGCGGCCAGGUAGGUCGGUUGUGAAAACUGGAGGCUUAACCUUCAGACGUCGACCGAAACCAUCUGGCUAGAGUCCGGAAGAGGAGAGUGGAAUUCCUGGUGUAGCGGUGAAAUGCGCAGAUAUCAGGAAGAACACCCGUGGCGAAGGCGGCUCUCUGGGACGGUACUGACGCUGAGACGCGAAAGCGUGGGGAGCGAACAGG